CUCCUGGAAACGGGUGGUAAUGCCGGAUGUUCCGCCUGAUCGCAUGGUCUUCCGGGAAAGCUUUCGCGGUAUGGGAUGGGGUCGCGUCCUAUCAGCUUGAUGGCGGGGUAACGGCCCACCGUGGCUUCGACGGGUAGCCGGCCUGAGAGGGCGACCGGCCACAUUGGGACUGAGGUACGGCCCAGACUCCUACGGGAGGCAGCAGUGGGGAAUAUUGCACAAUGGGGGCAAGCCUGAUGCAGCGACGCCGCGUGAGGGAUGGAGGCCUUCGGGUUGUGAACCUCUUUUAUCGGGGAGCAAGCGUGAGUGAGUGUACCCGUUGAAUAAGCACCGGCUAACUACGUGCCAGCAGCCGCGGUAAUACGUAGGGUGCAAGCGUUGUCCGGAAUUAUUGGGCGUAAAGGGCUCGUAGGCGGUUCGUCGCGUCCGGUGUGAAAGUCCAUCGCUUAACGGUGGAUCCGCGCCGGGUACGGGCGGGCUUGAGUGCGGUAGGGGAGACUGGAAUUCCCGGUGUAACGGUGGAAUGUGUAGAUAUCGGGAAGAACACC
rnacentral:rRNA from 1 species